AACCUCCGCAAUGUGAGAAAUCGCGACGGGGGGAUCCCAAGUGCCAUUCUUAACGGGAUGGCUUUUCAUUAGUGUAAAGAGCUUUUGGAAUAAGAGCUGGGCAAGACCGGUGCCAGCCGCCGCGGUAACACCGGCAGCUCUAGUGGUAACAAUUUUUAUUGGGCCUAAAGCGUCCGUAGCCGGUUUAAUAAGUCUCUGGUGAAAUCCUGCAGCUUAACUGUGGGAAUUGCUGGAGAUACUAUUAGACUUGAGACCGGGAGAGGUUAGAGGUACUCCCAGGGUAGAGGUGAAAUUCUGUAAUCCUGGGAGGACCGCCUGUUGCGAAGGCGUCUAACUGGAACGGUUCUGACGGUGAGGGACGAAAGUUAGGGGCGCGAACCGGAUUAGAUACCCGGGUAGUCCUAACUGUAACGAUGCGGACUUGGUGUUGGGGUGGCUUUGAGCUGCUUCAGUGCCGAAGGGAAGCUGUUAAGUCCGCCACCUGGGAAGUACGGUCGCAAGACUGAAACUUAAGGAAUU
rnacentral:rRNA from 1 species